ensembl:lncRNA
GGGAUAGGCCCACGGUAAGGCUUUAUUGACAGAGGGAGGGACAAUGAAGAUUGGAUGUCAGGGAGAAGGUCUUUCCAGAGACGGUGGUGAGAUGCUGGAAGCGGAUGCCCAGAGAGCUUGUGGACGCCGCGUCCGUGGCAGUGUUGAAGGCCAGGUUGGAUUGGGCACUCGGCAGCCUAGUCUAGGAUUAGAUAUGAUGCAGAUGGGAUUCACGCAUCUGUUUUGCAGCCAGCUCGAGUGGAGGUCUUGGAGCUCGUGGGCGCCCCAUGCCUGCAUCAGCGUGGGUAGGGUGUGCCCUUCCUGCGCGGUGGGGCUUUGGUGUCCGGGGGCUGACGCUGAGGAGACUGUGUUUCUUCGUUUAUCGGUGGCAGAAAUCCAGCUCUGUCAGCAGAGGACUCCUGCGGCUGGCUGGCCUCAGCCUGAGAUGUUGAUGCUUCCAUCUCCUCAGGUUCUUUCUGCCUGCUCUUCUUAGCCCUGCGCCUGAGAAGUCUGACUGAGUCACAUGCCAGAAGUGGAAGCCGGGAUGGAGUGCCUUGCGAUGCCUGUGACGGGCUGGACUGAGCCCUUGAGGAAGGUCUGGAAUCUUUGCUGAAAGAUUCAUUGGCUUUGGGCAACUUCAGCACUGCAGCCACACGAUGGGCUUUUUCCGCUUCCUGUUCUUCCUCACGGAAGCUCACGUGUUUGGUUCCUGGGGCUCGGCCCAGGUCUUCUUGGCUGUCUGUUUCUGCCUGGCCCUGCAGCUGGCAGGUCAGCGGCUGCUUUUGGUCUUCAGGCACUCCAGGGAUGGCUGGCAGCAGACUGAAAGGACAGAGCAGGAGGGGUCCGCCUGAGUGGAUGAUGGCUUUGGGGCCGCAUCCUGCAAGCCGGAGCCAGGACCCUUGGCUGCAACGCAGCCUUCCCCACAGACAGCUCACCGGCUGCCCUUGUGGCUCUCCCCCGUGGGAUCCAGAGAGGGGCCAGCCCUGUGAGCUGGGGGGCUCCUGGCGUCCCCAUCCCAGCACUAUUGGGCAGCCAGAAACAGG